rnacentral:lncRNA from 1 species
UCGGGGCGGGCCAAUGACUUCAAGAGCACGGUCAGUAUUUCUUAUCACAGUAUUAAAUGGUUGAGGAAAAUAUAAUAUGUAUAAUGACUUGUGACUAAUAAUAGACGACGGUGUCACACGGAAGCUGCGCAAUGGACAAUCAUGAAGACCUCGUGCAAACUACAGCAAUCAUCAGACGAACAAAGCGACAUUGACACGGCUAUUUGCAUGAGUAGGCCUGCUUUGUAGAUGGGCAUAGAUGAUCGAUUUCAUUUCUGCAAUCUAAAAGACGUGUAGAAGGCGUCAACGUCUUCAUGUGCAAGUAGUCCAUUUUCAUCUCUGUCCGAGUGCAGCCUCACAUUCUGUGUGGAUGGUGAUCCGGACUUCAUUAAUGUCGACGAAAGGCGUCUCCAAAAUACAGUGGCCACGUUUUAGAAGAGAGGCUACAGCUCACAGUGGCGAAGUCAGAGUCGCGUCAGAAUGACCUCAUCACAGCUUUUACCGCGAAUUUUAGGACAGGAUUUUACAGAUUGUCUUGGUUUGUACAUAUACUUUUCCCCAAAAGUGCGUGAUUUUCGAAAGGAACAGAUGAUUAUAGAAAUACAAAGAGGUACCGAGUGGAAGUUAUGAAUUGAUAAAAUCAUGUCAUUGAAGCAGACAGAAAGUAGUUCCGAUAAUAGUGUUAUUCAUACGAGUUUAACAACACUAUAUUUCAUUCGAAAGAGAUAAAUGUGUUAUUUUUGUAAGGUAAAUACAGUGUUUCAUCACAAAAUAAAUAAUAAAAAUGAAAAUUGUAUCAGUGAGACGACAUGAAUUAUGUGAGGUUGAUUGGUUGUAAAGGCUAAAUGGACAGAAUAGUUUAUAAUGUAGUAAAAACAUUAAAUACACCCUGACAUGAUUUUAGUAGAAAGCUAUUUGUAUUUUUAUAUAUCAAGUUAUAUAGAUUAUGUCAAGCGUCAUUGGUACAUGACGACCGCCUCCGUGGUCUAAUGGUAGAGCGUCCGCCCGGAGAGCGGAAGGUCCGGGGUUCGAUCCCCGACCGC